GUCUGGAUGGCCGAGCGGUCUAAGGUGCUGCAUUCAAGUUGCAGACCCCCUUGAAGUGUGGGUUUGAAUUACACUUCUCACA
rfam:Danio rerio chromosome 4, GRCz11 reference primary assembly.